AACCAAGGGACAGGUUGAAUUUCUGAAUGGACUUUUGUUGAGCACAUGGACUUUUGGAAGCAAAAGUAAGAGCCAAAUUUUGUGGGGAAGAAAAGAGAUUUUUGUUUGAUUUGUUUGGUUAGAGAUUUAUUUGGUUUAUUUGUUUUGUCUAUUUGAUAUGUUUGGUUAGAGAUUUUGUUUUCUUAAAUUCUAAAAACUUCUCUAAGCAAGGAGAAAGCUAAAAGCUAGAUUUUAAAGCUUCAAAAAUAAAAUUGAAGUGUUUACAAAAUUAUAGGGUUAGCCCUUCUCCUAUCCAAAAGAAAAAGUCAACUGGAAAGUAGGAAGAGGGGAAUUGGAAGAGAUAUGGAUUUAGAUUCUAGAGGUAGUAGAUCAUAAAACCCCCCAAGAAAUGAGGUAGGAGGAUAAAAUUUUUAGUUUCUCUAAAUUGUUAUAGUCCACUGUUGAAGAAACAGAUGCCAAGAUGGAAUUAGACAUGAAAGAGAUUUAUUGGGUGAAACACUGGAGAGAAAGUGGGGAGGAAACCAGGAGAGAUGUCAGACUGUGAUGAAGGUCUGAGUCUGUGAAGAAAGGAGGGAACAGAGCAUUUGAAGGAGGAUAAGGACUGCAGUAGAGUUCUUAGAAGGAAAAGCCUACAGGGAGUCCUUGAGCCGAAGUCACUCAUCAGAUGAACCCUGUUGCCUCCCAGGUAGUUUUCUGACCUUAAUAUCCCGGCCAUGCUCCUCAUUGACUGGGGCAGUCCCUGGGAAACAUGGCCUCAUUCACAACAACAUGAUGCACUUCUGAGCACUGCAGGUAGAGUUGUGGGUCAGUUAUACUCUCCAAAGUCAGUUAUCUGAGAGGCACAUUUUCAUGAACACUGCAAAAACUCACAUUGGAUUAGGGCAAAUCUUACAGCAUAUAGUCUUGUGCCUUGCUUCUGUCGAUUGAAAAAAAAAAUGCGUAACAUAAGAGUUGAGAAUUACAUUUUAUUUGACAUACAAACUGAGGACUUAAGCCCGGAAGACAGCCUCUCAGAUUACUCUGAGAGACUGUUCCAAAUAGGUAAAAAGGAAGAAGCCAGGAUACACAGGAGUUUUUGCAACAAAAACCAGGUAGUCAUUUUACUAUUAAUAAAAGAAAAAGAAGACAUCUCAAGUUAAUGAAUUUAGUACUUUUCCAUGUAUAGGAAGAUGCAAGAGGCUGGGCUCAUUGAAAUCAUUCCUUUCAUGUGCAUUUUAACUAUCUAGGGUCAGCAUCCUGUUUUUUUCUAUCCUGAAUUCCCUCAGGGUAUUCAGUUGAGAGGCAACUGUAGUGUCUAAUGUCUUGAUGGCUGAAACAUCCAUUGUUUACUGAUGUGGCAGGCAACAUUCUUCAUCCACACUUCUCUCCUGAGAGAAUACAAGCCUGGGAGUCAAAAUUCAAGUCUAAUAGAGCAAAUGGGUGAUCAAAUACCAGAAAGAGAAAGAUCUUGGCAGAUUGACUUCGUGUAGUAAGGUAGAGGAAACAAAAAGCUGGCUGGAUGAGUGAGAGAACCCACAGGAUUCUGGUAUCAGUGUGACACUAAAUGACAUUGUGACUCAAGACAACAACAGCAGAGACCAUGGAUAUUAGUCACCAAUGCCAGCAGCAGAGGCAUUUCAGUCCUGGUGUCUUAAAACUGGGUAGGACUCACCAUAUCUCAGCUGAUAGCAGAGCACAUCACCCAUUGUUCAAACUGGAAGGGGAGCUAUGCCACAGCAAAGGCCAGUGUGACAGGGGACGCCUUAGUACUUGCCAUGGGAGGCAUUCAGUAAGUGGUAGAGAACCCAGUAAUUCAGGAUAGAGUGCAGAUACAGAUGUCCAGAUGUGGAAAGGAAAUAAAACCAGUGUUCUCCUCUGCUACAGAGCAACAUUUGUGUUUUUACUGAUAUCUCUAACCCCGGACCAGAAUGAGUGUUAUACAAUUGUUGGAUGAGAACAUGAUUACUUAAUUUCGAGGUCAUUAUGAUAAUUGGUGCCACGUAUAUACUUACACCAUCAGAAUACUAAAAUCAGCAUGUUUAUCUGAUUUCUUUAAUGAACAAACAAGGAAUGAAUUACAAUAUUUAUUUGCUUUAUCACAAUAUGUAUGUUUCUCAUUAGUUUGAAGCUAAUAUAUCUGAAUUGCCUGUAAGUUGUUAAUAAUAAGCAGAUCUGAUUUCAAGGGGAAAAAAGAUUCUAAUAAGAGCUGCCCCAAGUGUUUGCAGAAGAAGCUAAGUAUUAACCCUAUGGCAAAGUGCUGGAUUUCAUCACUGGAAUGAUUCCAACAUUUCAGGAACUUCUAUAACAUUAGAAAUGAGUGGGAGAUGGAGAGACCAAGGUUCUUCCUCUGGGAAGCAAAACUGUGAGAAGUCAGGCCAGGAUAGUCAGCUGAAGCUCAUGAAACAAGUCAGGCCAGGAUGGCCAGCUGUAUCUCAUGCAAUGUGGGCCAUACCAUUAUGAGGGUAGCGACAGGAGUCCAAGUAGAGCUUUUCUCCUGGCUCUACACUAUCCACAAUUCUGGGGUUCCAUGCCUCCUCACAGCCCAAUUCCUUCUGUUUUUAUUGUAUCUUUCAAGAUAAGCACCAGCUCCUGAACUAUCACAGGAUGGCCCUACCCUCCUGUCUCCACCAAGGUGCUUUGUGGCUUUUUACCUCUGGCAACAGUGAAUGAUCACCUCAGCACCUGCCUCCCUGUCUGAGUUCAGAAGAGAAGGAAAAACUUUCGCUCAGGAGGGACCGAACCCGCAACCUCAUGGUUCCUAGUUGGAUUCGUUAACCACUGCGCCACGACGGGAACUCCUUGUGUUGAUUCUUGAAGCAAGUUUUUUUCCUCAGCUUUAUUGCUGUAUAAUUGACAAAACUCGUACAUAUUUAAGGUGUACAAUGUGAAAUUUUUAUAUAUGUAUGUAUACAAUGUGAUUUUUUUACCACGAUCAAGCUGGUUAACACAUCCAUCAACUCAUAUAGUUACUGUUUUUUUUUUUUUUGAGAACGAUUCAGAUCUACUCUUUGCAAAUUUCAAGUAGAUGAUACAGUAUUGAACUAUAGCCAUACUGCUAUACAUUAGAUCUCUAGAAAUUAUUCAUCUGUUUAUAUCUGAAAUUCCAAAGGAAAUAAAAUCAAUACCUCACAAAGAUAUCUGCACUCCCAUGUUCAUUGCAGCAUUUUCCACAAUAGCCAAGAUAUAGAAACAACCUAAGUGUCUGUCAAUAGAUGAAGGGGUAAAGAAAAUGUGAUAUAAAUGAAUAAUAUUGAAUAUAUAUGAAUAUAUUUGAAAAAUAUUCGGCUUUUAAAAAGAAGGCAAUCCUGUCAUUUGCAAUAGCAGAGAUGGACUUUGAGAGCAUUAGACUAAAUGAAAUAAACCAGAAACACAAGGAUAAAUUCUGCAUGAUCUCACUCUUGCGUGGCAUCUAAAGAAGCUGAACUUUUAAAAGUAGAGAGUAGAGGGCUGAGUGGUGAGGGAAACAGGGGGGUGUUGAUGGAAGGAAAGAGUUUUAACAAUUUGUCUCCACUAAAGCUGCCAUUGCCCAGAGAGCUUGGCUCCAUCUGAGCAGAAGUCUUGAGUGCAUCCUGCUGUGAUGAUAAAAAGUCUGUGCCUUAAGAGAAGCUGUGCAUUGUGCCAUCAUGUGAUACUCCCUAGAACAUAGGCCCUGGAAUGAGGGUGCACUAUGUUACCUACUCUCGUAGAGAUUUUCAGGAAACAGUGCUUUCCAUUUUCAUUCUGAGUCCUUUCUCCUAAGUACUCGAGACAGCUUCAGUGGCAGAUACUGUGUUAUGCUCAGUUAUUCCUCCCUCAAAACCUGUGGUAGUAUACUUCUCACAUCAGUGCACUCUGGUGCUCAUUUCCCUUGGGUUGGAUGCCCUACAGGCAGGAACCUCUAUUCUCAGGCCUCCAGCAUGGAACCCUCAGCCAUGCCGUGGCUUCCUGGGACCAUGGAUAAACAUGGCUCCAGCUGGGACCCCUGUUCCAAUUCUCUUUUAAUUUUUUUUAACAAAGUAUAAUUGAUUUACAAUGUUGUCCCAAUUUUUGCUGUACUGCAAAGUGACUUGGUCAUACAUAUUGAUAUAUUAUUUUUUAGUAUUAUUUUCCAUUAUGGUCUAUCCCAGGAGAUUGGAUAUAAUUCCCUGUGCUAUAUAGCUGGACCUCAUUGCUUAUCCAUUCUAAAUGUAAUACUUUGCAUCUACUAACACAAACUCCCAGCCUAUCCCACUCCUUUUCCCCUCCACCUUGGCAACCUCAAGUCUAUUCUCCAUGUCUGCGAGUCUGUGUGUUUUGUAGAUAGUUUCAUUUGUGCCAUCUAUAAGUGAUAGCAUAUGGUAUCUGUCCUUCUCUUUCUAAAUUACUUCACUUAUGAUAAUCUCUAGUUACAUCCGUGUUGCUCAAAUAGCAUCAUUUCAUUCUUUUUUUAUGGCUGAGUAGUGUUCCAUAUGUACCACAUCUUCUUAAUCCAUUCAUCUGUCAAUGGACAUUUAGGUUCCUUCCAUGUCUUGGCUAUUGUGAAUAGUGCUGGUGUGAACAUACAGUGCAUGUGUCAUUUUGAGUUAUAGUUUUGUCCAGAUAUAUGCCCAGGAGUGUGAUUGCUGGAUCAUAUGGCAACUCUAUAUUUGUUUUGUGAGGAAACUCUAUACUGUUUUCCAGUGGUUGUACCAAUUUACAUUCCUACCAACAGCAUAGGAGGGUUCCCUUUGCUCCACAUCCUCUCUAGCAUUUGUUAUUUGUAGACCUAUUAAUGAUGGCCACUCUGACAAGUGUGAUGUGGUACUGCAUUUCAGCUUUGACUUGCACUACUCUAAUAAUUAGUGAUAUUGAACAUCUUUUCAUGUGUUUUUGCCACCUGUAUGUCUUCUUUGGAGAAAUGUUUAUUUAAGUCUUCUACCCAUUUUUAAUUGGGUUGUUUGGGGUUUUUCGUUAUUGAAUUGUAUGGGUUGUUUGUAUAUUUUGGACAUUAAGCCCUUGUUGGUUGCAUCAUUUGCAGCUAUUUUCUCCAAUUCCUUAGGUUGUCUUUUCAUUUUGUUUGUUUGUUUUUAAUGAUUUCCGUUGCUGUGCAAAAGCUUUUUUGAUUAGUUCCCAUUUGGUUUGUUUAUUUGUUUGUUUGUUUAUUUUUAUUUCUAUUGCCUUGGGAAACUGACCUAAGAAAACAUUUGUAUGGUUUAUGUCAGAGAAAUGUUUUACCUAUGUUCUCUCCUAAGAGUUUUAUGGUGUCAUGUUUUAUGUGUAAGUGUUUAAGCCAUUUUGAGUUUAUUUUUGUGCAUGGUGUAAGGGUGUGUUCUAGUUCCAUUGAUUUACAUUCAGCUGUCCAGUUUUCCCAGCACCAUUUGUUGAAGAGACUGUCUUUUUCCCAUUUUAUAUUCUUGCCUCCUUUGUCAAAGAUUAAUUGACCAUAGGUGUCUGGGUUUAUUUCUGGGUUCUCUAUUCUGUUCCAUUUCUCUAUCAGUUUUUGUACCAGUACCACACUGUUUUGAUUACUGUCACUUUGUAAUAUUGUCUGAAGUCUGGAAGAGUUAUGCCUCCUGCUUUCUUUUUUUCCCUCAGAAUUAUUACUCCAAUUACUUUAGCCUUUCAUUCAAAAUCAUUUAAUUAGUUCCUUCUCCAAUAAAUAGUAAACUGUGUCUAAUAUGAGAAGAAAUGAGUGUAAGACCCUGCCUUCAAGAAAUCUACAAUCUUACCAUCACAUUGAGUAUCCCUGAAUAUAAAUGACUUUUCCAGUAAUGAGCAGUGGAAGAUCAGAGGAUGCAAAAAAUAAUUUAUUCAAGGCAGUUGUGGAAAAUUUGACACUAGGCUGGGCCUAAAGAUGUAGGUAGAGUUUGGAAAAUAUUAUCGUUGUUGAUGUCAUCUUAAGUUUUUGGAUUAGGAGCUGUCCAUGUUUAAGAUGAAGAGAAAAAUCAUGUGGGGGCACAAUAACACUCUAUAAAUAUUUGAAAUAUUAUUAAAUAUUGUAUAAGGAGUAUAUUUAACUCUUUGAAGAGCAUUACUGGGAGGGAGUUACAGAAGACCAAUUUUUUUUAAAGUUUUAAAUUUUAUCUACUUGUUUAAAAAGGCUGCUUUGUGAAGUAUCUUGUACCUAAUGCUACCUAUGAGGGAUAUCAUGGGACCCAUGAAGUUCCCUGAGACACUUUCAGGGUAUCCAUGAGGUCAAAAUGAAUUUAACAAUGGUACUAUGACAGGCAGAAUCAUGCUAUCCCAAUGAUGCUAAUGUUCUAAUUUCAGGAACCUGAAUAUGUUACAUUAAUGGCAAAGGGAAUUAAGACUGUCAUGAAUUAAAGUUGUUAAUCAGCAGACCUUAAAAUAAAGAUACUAUGCUGGACUAUCUGGGUAGGUCCAAUGUAAUAAUAAGAGUCCAUAAGAGUGGAAGAGGGGAUCUGAAGAGGGGCCCAGAGAAAUAGUGGUGUGAGAAGGACAGAGCUCAGUGUUGCUGACCUUGAAGAUGGAAGAAGGAGCCACAGACAAGGAUGUUGGUGGACUUUCAAAGUUGGAAAAUACAAAAAAAGAAAAA
rnacentral:lncRNA from 1 species